GUUUGCACUCAUCGGGGAAGGGUGAGAACCUUCGACUAAGGUUCGAUUCGAGCGAAAGCGAGAGAACGUUGCCACAGGCAACGGCCCGAAGGGUGAGGAGCGAAGCGUCGAAUAAUCCUUCCCCCACCACCA
rnacentral:sRNA from 1 species